rnacentral:rRNA from 1 species
GAUGAACGCUAGCGAUAGGCUUAACACAUGCAAGUCGAGGGGCAGCACAAGGUAGCUUGCUAUCUGGGUGGCGACCGGCGCACGGGUGCGUAACGCGUAUGCAACCUGCCCUAUACAGGAGGAUAACCCGUCGAAAGACGGACUAAUACUGCGUAUGCUCACAACUUGGCAUCAAGUGGUGAGGAAAGAAAUUCGGUAUAGGAUAGGCAUGCGUCCCAUUAGCUUGUUGGUGAGGUAACGGCUCACCAAGGCAACGAUGGGUAGGGGAACUGAGAGGUUUAUCCCCCACACUGGUACUGAGACACGGACCAGACUCCUACGGGAGGCAGCAGUGAGGAAUAUUGGUCAAUGGGCGCGAGCCUGAACCAGCCAAGUCGCGUGAAGGAUGACUGUCUUAUGGAUUGUAAACUUCUUUUAUACGGGAAUAACAAGAGUCACGUGUGACUCCCUGCAUGUACCGUAUGAAUAAGCAUCGGCGAACUCCGU